ensembl:lncRNA
CUCCAGAACCAACGCUCAGGAAUCUCCCGGGGCGGCAACACCAACCUGUGAGGUGUAGCUGUGGAGCCACAGUCCGAGUCCGCCAGCUUCUGAGGCCCUGAAACCUAAUACCAUUCUGACUUGCCCAUCCUCCAGUCUUCCAUUUCUCACUUUGGAAUUUACCACACCCCAUCUGCUGGUAGGCUGUAACACUCCUACAAUUUUCCUCAGCCUCUUUCUUGGCAAGAUUUCCUCUAAAUAAGUCGCUAAGAGAGUAAGCCUUGCGUGCUGCAGUCCAUGGAGUUACAAAGAGUUGGACAAAACUGAGCAACUGAACAACAACAAAGAGAGCAGAAGACCACAAAAAGAAAACUCAUCUUAAAAUGUCUACUGCAAACCAGAC